UUGAUAUGGUUACAUCUAGAGUCUGAAUUGUUGCGCCGUGGGAAACCACUCGUGAAGAGACCUACGUUGGUGAUGACACUAGUUCUCUGAUUUCUCAGCGAGGAAUGGUGGAGUUUGCACUUGUUUGGAGUCGUUUUUUUUGGCUUAUGAGGAAUAUGUUUUCUGGUUGUCUUCCUCUUUAAUUUCACUGUGUGUGGGACGAUGAGGUUUAGUGUGCGGAUCGAGGUUUACUCUAACCUAGAUUUGUUGCCAUGUUUCGUCUGUGAGGGUUAGAGUUCGUCGUUUUGCGUUGUCGUGGAGCUCCAUUCUCUUUUUCUCUCACAUUCAAGUGAGCUUCGGUCGAUAUUUCUCCAACGGAGAUGUGU
rnacentral:lncRNA from 1 species